GCCAUUGCAUCUCCACUGUCAACCCUUUAAGUACCAUUUGCCAGUCUAUCCUAGCCAAUUCCCAUCUCAUACCGUCAAAGUCUACUUUCUUUAAGUUCAUGACCCUAGUCUCUGAAUUAACCAUGUCACUUUCCAUCCU